rnacentral:rRNA from 1 species
UACGUAGGCAGCAAGCGUUGUUCGGAGUUACUGGGCGUAAAGGGUGUGUAGGCGGUUGUUUAAGUUUGGUGAGAAAUCUCCCGGCUCAACUGGGAGGGUGCGCCGAAUACUGAAUGACUUCGAGUGCGGGAGAGGAGAGUGGAAUUCCUGGUGUAGCGGUGAAAUGCGUAGAUAUCAGGAGGAACACCGGUGGUGUAGACGGCUCUCUGGACCGUAACUGACGCUGAGACACGAAAGCGUGGGUAGCAAACAGG